rnacentral:rRNA from 1 species
UACGGGGGAGCAAGCGUUGUUCGGAUUUACUGGGCGUAAAGGGCGCGUAGGCGGCGCAACAAGUCACUUGUGAAAUCUCCGGGCUUAACCCGGAGCGGCCAAGUGAUACUGUCGUGCUAGAGUGCGGAAGGGGCUACUGGAAUUCUCGGUGUAGCGGUGAAUGACGUAGAUAUCGAGAGGAACACCUGCGGCGAAGGCGGUAGCUGGGCCGACACGUGACGCUGAGGCGCGAAAGCCAGGGGAGCAAACAGG